GUGAGAGUUUAGCCAUUAGAAGAACAGGUGAGAGUUUAGCCAUUAGAAGAACAGGUGAGAGUUUAGCCAUUAGAAGAACAGGUGAGAGUUUAGCCAUUAGAAGAACAGGUGAGAGUUUAGCCAUUAGAAGAACAGGUGAGAGUUUAGCCAUUAAGAAGAACAGGUGAGAGUUUAGCCAUUAGAAGAACAGGUGAGAGUUUAGCCAUUAAGAAGAACAGGUGAGAGUUUAGCCAUUAGAAGAACAGGUGAGAGUUUAGCCAUUAGAAGAACAGGUGAGAGUUUAGCCAUUAAGAAGAACAGGUGAGAGUUUAGCCAUUAGAAGAACAGGUGAGAGUUUAGCCAUUAGAAGAACAGGUGAGAGUUUAGCCAUUAGAAGAACAGGUGAGAGUUUAGCCAUUAGAAGAACAGGUGAGAGUUUAGCCAUUAGAAGAACAGGUGAGAGUUUAGCCAUUAGAAGAACAGGUGAGAGUUUAGCCAUUAGAAGAACAGGUGAGAGUUUAGCCAUUAGAGGAACAGGUGAGAGUUUAGCCAUUAGAAGAACAGGUGAGAGUUUAGCCAUUAGAAGAACAGGUGAGAGUUUAGCCAUUAGAAGAACAGGUGAGAGUUUAGCCAUUAGAAGAACAGGUGAGAGUUUAGCCAUUAAGAAGAACAGGUGAGAGUUUAGCCAUUAGAAGAACAGGUGAGAGUUUAGCCAUUAGAAGAACAGGUGAGAGUUUAGCCAUUAGAAGAACAGGUGAGAGUUUAGCCAUUAGAAGAACAGGUGAGAGUUUAGCCAUUAGAAGAACAGGUGAGAGUUUAGCCAUUAGAAGAACAGGUGAGAGUUUAGCCAUUAGAAGAAAAGGGGAGAGUUUAGCCA